UUCCCGUACUUGGUGUUACUGCGAAGGGGGGACGGAGAAGGCUAUGUUGGCCGGGCGACGGUUGUCCCGGUUUAAGCGUGUAGGUGUGUGUUCCAGGUAAAUCCGGAACAUCAAGGCUGAGGCGUGACGACGAGGCACUACGGUGCUGAAGCAACAAAUGCCCUGCUUCCAGGAAAAGCCUCUAAGCAUCAGGUAACAUCAAAUCGUACCCCAAACCGACACAGGUGGUCAGGUAGAGAAUACCAAGGCGCUUGA
rnacentral:rRNA from 1 species